AACGAACGCUGGCGGCAGGCCUAACACAUGCAAGUCGAACGCCGUAGCAAUACGGAGUGGCAGACGGGUGAGUAACACGUGGGAACGUACCCUUCGGUUCGGGAUAACUCAGGGGAAACUUGAGCUAAUACCGGAUACGUCCGAGAGGAGAAAGAUUUAUCGCCGAGGGAUCGGCCCGCGUCUGAUUAGCUUGUUGGUGAGGUAACGGCUCACCAAGGCGACGAUCAGUAGCUGGCUGAGAGGAUGAUCAGCCACACUGGGACUGAGACACGGCCCAGACUCCUACGGGAGGCAGCAGUGGGGAAUAUUGGACAAUGGGCGAAAGCCUGAUCCAGCCAUGCCGCGUGAGUGAUGAAGGCCCUAGGGUUGUAAAGCUC
rnacentral:rRNA from 1 species